rnacentral:lncRNA from 1 species
CAAGCAGGAUUGAAGGGGAUGGGGGCGGUGACUGGAAUUUUCAGGGUUGACUACCAUAAAAAAUGGAAUUAACACAGAGGGACUCUGAAAUAUGAAGAAGGGUCCCUUUUAUCUUUGGCUGAUAACUUAGCGGGUGAGGCUUCAUGGGGCAGGCAGAUAACUGUCAAGCUGGUACAAGUAACUCAUAGUGGGUUGGGAGAUUGUCUAGUUCUGACCAUGUAGAGUGGAGAGACCUGCUAAAAUACUCGGUCAUUUGGAAGAGACCGUAGGAAGGACAAUCCUUAGCAAUAGGUCUGCAGUAAUAGAGAAAAUACUAUUUUUAACCCUAUCCUCAAAAGUAUGUGUGUGUUGGAGGAGAGGGGAGGGGAUGAAAAACAAAUCUCAAAAAAUGAAGGCAGCUAUAUGUAAUUGUCAAAGUACACUCUGUUGUUAGGUUUAUCUAAAAACAAAAAAUAAAAUAGUCAUUUUCUUAAAGGUAGGAGCCAGGUGUGUGCACACCUGUAAUACCAGCUAUGCAGGAGGGUAAGGCAGAAGGAUGGAAAGUUUGAGGCCAGUUUGAGCAAUUUAGAGAGGCCCUGUCUCAAAGAAUAAAAAUGACUGGGGAUGUAGCUCAUUGGUAGAGUGCCUUUGGAUCCAAUCCCCAUUACCACCAAAAGAAUAAAGAAAGAAAAGAAAAAUUAAGUCAGGGCAGGGGAAUGUAGCACAGAGGUAGAGCACUAGCCUACUUCAUGGGAGGCCCUGGGUUUGAUCCCCAAUACUACCAAAAAAGAAGAAAAAGUAAAAGAUUAAGCCAGAUCUCAGUCUCUCUAUCCGGACAAAAGUUAACAUUUAAAAUAGCCAUAUAUUCAUCAACAUAUAUAGAAUAUUAAGCAUCCAGUCCAGUAUAUAAAAUAUUAUAUAAAAUAUUGCCAUCCAGUCCAGAAUUAUUGGACCUAUAAAGAGAAGGGGAAAUGUAAUCUUUAACCAGGAGAAAAGUUAAUUCAUAGACCUAGAAAUCCACAGAUGAUGGAUUUAAAAGACAGGAAAGCAUUGAAGUAUUGAAAGGAAAAUGUAAUCAUAGGAGACUAAGUAAGAUUUAAAAAGCCAAUAAAUAAAAACGAAAACUCAGCAGAACUUUUGGAAAUGAAAAAUAGAGAAUCUGAGGUGAAUUUUUUAGCCAGCAGGCUUAAUAGCAGAUCAUUACAUCUAAUAUUACAGAACAAAAGAUUAGUGAUGGGGCCUGGGGUUGUAGCUCAGAGGUAGAGCGCUCGCUUAGUAUGCGUGAGGCACUGGGUUCGAUCCUAAGCACCACAUAAAAAUAAAAUAUUGUGCCCACCUGCAAUUAAAAAAUAAAUAUUAAAAAAAAAAGAUUAGUGAUAGGGACUUGGAUUGUUGCUCACUGGUAGAGCACUUGCCUAGCAGGUGAGGCACUGGGUUUGAUCCUCAGGACCACAUAAAAACAAACAAAUAAAAUAAAGAUAUUGUGUCCAUCUACAUCUAAAAACAAACAAAGAGAUUAGUGUCAGCUGGGCAUGGUGGCACACGCAGCUCUGGAGGCUGAGGCAGGAGAAUGGUUCAAAGCCAGCCUCAGCAACAGCAAGGCGCUAAGCAACUCAGUGAAGGUGAGACCUUGUCUCUAAAUAAAAUACAAAAUAGUGCUGGAGAUGUGACUCAGUGGUUGAGUGUCCCUGAGUUCAAUCCCUAGUUCUCCCAUCCCCCUGCCAAAAAAAAAAAAAGAAAAAAGAUUAGUGUUAGGGUAAUAGAAACUAUCCAAACUGAAGACCAGGGGAGGAAAAAUGCUGAAAAACAUUUGAACCUCAGUGGUACAUGGGACAGUAUCAUGUAAUCUAACAUAUUUAAUUGGAGUCUUAGAAAAGAAGUAUUUACAGAAAAAAGAUAAUGGCUGAUAAGUUUACAAAUGUGAAGAAAACCGUAAUGUAAGCCCAUAGACCCAGUGAACCUAGGUAGGAUAGCAAAGAAAAUCGCAUCCUAAUCGAAUGACUGAAAGCCCGAGACAAAUAGGAAUGGUGUUAUAUUCAGAGGGACAAAUAUAGAACACUGUUGACUUUAUCAGAAACGGUGUAAGCCAGUAAAAUAUCCAAAUUGUAUUACAAAUAAAUAACAUAACCACAUGGAAGGAGAAGAAAAGAGUUCUCUAGAGGAAUAGAACCAAUAGAAUAUACAUAUAAUUAUAAAAGCAGAUUUAUUGGAUUGAUUUAUAUGAUCAGGGAAUGGAUAGAUCAUGAUGGCCAUUUAUGAACUGCUGAGCUGGGGAAACCAUUAGCCACUCAGUCCAAGAAAGCUUGAUGCCUCAGAACAAGAGGGACUUAUCUAUGAUGCAGUACCAUUCUGAGGCUGAAAAUCUAGAAGCUCCCUGGAAAUUCACUGGAGUAAGUUCAUGUUUUGGCAUCUGAACCUGUGGCAGCAGCAAAAACAUGCCCCAUCUUCUUCAACCUUUUGUUCCAUCUGGUCCUCCAACCUAUUAGAUGGUGCUGCCUGCAUUCAGGGCAAGUCUUCCCUCUCAGUUGCUGAUCCACAUUGCCACUUGUGUUGAUCAGUUUCUCUUUUGGAAAAAGAGAAGUUUAAGUUUAAAACCAAAAUAAACCAUCACAAAAGCCAGGCUUGGUGGUGCACACCUGUAAUCCCAGGUACUCUAGAACCUGAGGUAGGAGAAUCACAAGUUCGGGGUCUGCCUGGAAACAUAGUGAGAACCUAUUUCAAAAAAGUAAAAUAAAAAAUAUAAAAACCCCAAACCGUUACAAAAGUAAUCAAAGUGCUUUUAGAAAACAGGAUCAUGAGUUCGAGGUCUGCCUGGAAACAGUGAGACCCUAUCUCAAAAAGUAAAAUAAAAAAUACAAGAACCCAAAACAGUUACAAACUUUAGAAAACAGAUAUCAUAAGUCUAAAGAUAAGAAGAAAAACAAACUGUAAACAAGUACUUUAGUCAGUAAAGCUACUUUCUUAUAGGGUAUGAAUUACCAAGUCUGAAACUAUAUAUAUGUGUGUAUGUAUAUGUACAUACAUGCUAGGAUUAAACAUGUAUAUAAAUGUUUUAGAUAAUGAGAGCCACUUUAUUGUUAAAGUUUCUAAAAAAGUACAGUAGGAAUGCAAGAGUGAACUCUGGUGUUUGUUUGGAAUUGAAAGUAUCAUUAUGAGUUCAUGGUUGUAUAUAGUUAAUGCAGAACAGAUAGUUAUGGAAGUGUAGAUGUCAUGUGCAUUGAUUAGUAUACAUAAACAUAUUUUCUAGCUCUGUCCAUAGAGAAGGCAUAAAAGCAAUGACACUCCUAUAGCAUGUGCUAAUUUAGUGCCCAGAUUUUGGAGUCUAAAUAAAACUCUUUAAUAAAAGGAACCAGGGCUCUCUGAAGAACUUGAUUACAGAACUGGGGUAGGAGAAAUAAAAGAUGGUUCUG